rnacentral:rRNA from 1 species
AGAGUUUGAUCAUGGCUCAGAACGAACGCUGGCGGCAUGCCUAACACAUGCAAGUCGAACGAGACCUUCGGGUCUAGUGGCGCACGGGUGCGUAACGCGUGGGAAUCUGCCCUUGGGUUCGGGAUAACAGUUGGAAACGACUGCUAAUACCGAAUGAUGACUUCGGUCCAAAGAUUUAUCGCCCAGGGAUGAGCCCGCGUCGGAUUAGCUAGUUGGUGAGGUAAAGGCUCACCAAGGCGACGAUCCGUAGCUGGUCUGAGAGGAUGAUCAGCCACACUGGGACUGAGACACGGCCCAGACUCCUACGGGAGGCAGCAGUGGGGAAUAUUGGACAAUGGGCGAAAGCCUGAUCCAGCAAUGCCGCGUGAGUGAUGAAGGCCUUAGGGUUGUAAAGCUCUUUUACCCGGGAUGAUAAUGACAGUACCGGGAGAAUAAGCCCCGGCUAACUCCGUGCCAGCAGCCGCGGUAAUACGGAGGGGGCUAGCGUUGUUCGGAAUUACUGGGCGUAAAGCGCGCGUAGGCGGCUUUGCAAGUUAGAGGUGAAAGCCCGGAGCUUAACUCCGGAACUGCCUUUAAAACUGCGUCGCUAGAAUCGUGGAGAGGUGAGUGGAAUUCCGAGUGUAGAGGUGAAAUUCGUAGAUAUUC